rnacentral:rRNA from 1 species
CUACGGGAUGCUCCAGUUAAGAAUCUUCCGCAAUGGACGAAAGUCUGACGGAGCGACGCCGCGUGGGUGAAGAAGGCCGAGAGGUUGUAAAGCCCUUUUCUGCUUGAGGAAUAAGCCUGGUAGGGAAUGACCGGGUGAUGACGGUAGGGCAGGAAUAAGCCCCGGCUAAUUACGUGCCAGCAGCCGCGGUAACACGUAUGGGGCGAGCGUUGGUCGGAAUCAUUGGGCGUAAAGGGCGUGUAGGCGGAAAUGCAAGUCUGGUGUGAAAGACCGCAGCUCAACUGCGGGGACGCGCUGGAAACUGCAUAUCUUGAGUUCCGGAGGGGGAGUUGGAAUUCCUGGUGUAGGGGUGAAAUCUGUUGAUAUCAGGAAGAACAUCGGUGGCGAAGGCGAACUCCUGGACGAGAACUGACGCUGAGGCGCGAAAGCGUGGGGAGCGAGCAGGAUUAGAUACCCGAGUAGUC